rnacentral:tRNA from 1 species
GCCUGGGUGGCUCAGUCGGUUGAGCAUCCGACUUCAGCUCAGGUCAUGAUCUCACAGUCCGUGAGUUCGAGCCCCGCGUCAGGCU